GACUUUAAGAGAGAGGACACUUGGCUUCCAUGUACGAGACACACAAGUCCCAGAUUGAAUCACUCUAUCAGAAGACGCCCUCAGAUUCAGAUCCAUCAGCAACCACUGACAACAUGGAGGACUCGUCCCCUGAGCGUUUCCUGUCCUCUCUCGAUGGAGUUCUUCUCUUCAGUUAUUAACUCUUGAAAACAGCAGCACAACAUGCCAGACUGUUUGACAAGUCUGUGAUUGAAUAAAUGGAAAUGGAAUCUCA